rnacentral:rRNA from 1 species
UACGUAGGGGGCAAGCGUUGUCCGGAUUUAUUGGGCGUAAAGAGCGUGUAGGCGGCCAGGUAGGUCCGUUGUGAAAACUCGAGGCUCAACCUCGAGACGUCGGCGGAAACCCUCUGGCUAGAGUCCGGAAGAGGAGAGUGGAAUUCCUAGUGUAGAGGUGAAAUUCGUAGAUAUUAGGAAGAACACCAGUGGCGAAGGCGGCUCACUGGCCCGGUACUGACGCUGAGGCGCGAAAGCGUGGGGAGCAAACAGG